GAUCCUGGCUCAGGACGAACGCUGGCGGCGCGCCUAACACAUGCAAGUCGAACGAGAGAGGGGGAGCUUGCUCCCUUGAUCGAGUGGCGAACGGGUGAGUAACGCGUGAGGAACCUGCCUCAAAGAGGGGGACAACAGUUGGAAACGACUGCUAAUACCGCAUAAGCCCACGGCUCGGCAUCGAGCAGAGGGAAAAGGAGUGAUCCGCUUUGAGAUGGCCUCGCGUCCGAUUAGCUAGUUGG
rnacentral:rRNA from 1 species